GAGGCCAAUGAAACGUGAAGCCAACCCAAAACCCAGAGGCGCAAUGAAACGUGAAGGCGCGGCCUCGUGCCGUGCCGAGUUGCGAUCCCGGGCCGCCCAGGGGUCCGAUGAAGGGAGCAGCAACGGCCCGCCCCACACGCUCACGUCGUGGGGGCGGCGCUAGAGCGCACACGUUGGCACCCGAAAGAUGGUGAACUAUGCCCGGGCAGGACGAGGCCAGAGGAAACUCUGGUGGAGGUCCGAAGCGCUUCUGACGUGCAAAUCGAUCGUCCGACCCAGGUAUAGGGGCGAAAGACUAAUCGAACCAUCUAGUAGCUGGUUCCCUCCGAAGUUUCCCUCAGGAUAGCUGGCGCUUGUUGCCGAGACCAGUCACACCUGGUAAAGCGAAUGAUUAGAGGCAUUGGGGUCGAAACGACCUCAACCUAUUCUCAAACUUUCAAUGGGUGUGUCGGAGGCCUUCUGGUCUGAGGCCUCCGGAAGCGAUGAGAGUGCCAAGUGGGCCACUUUUGGUAAGCAGAACUGGCGCUGUGGGAUGAACCAAACGCCGGGGUAAGGCGCCCGAUGCGGGACGCUCAUGAGAUCCCAUGAAGGGUGUUGGUUGCUUAAGACAGCAGACGGUGGCCAUGGAAGUCGGAACCCGCUAAGAGUGUGUAACAACUCACCUGCCGAAGCACUAGCCCCGAAAUGGAUGGCGCUCUAGUGUCGAGCCUAUCCCCGGCCGCUGCCGGCAGAUGCACGCAACAAGGGGUGC
rfam:Ixodes scapularis strain Wikel colony gcontig_1108379598634, whole genome shotgun sequence.